rnacentral:rRNA from 1 species
GAUGAACGCUAGCGGCAUGCCUAACACAUGCAAGUCGAGGGGUAUUUCUCUUCGCUUAGUGAGACCGGCUCACGGGUGCGUAACUCGUUUGCAAGUUACCUUCUACACUGUGAUAGUGGAGAGAAUUUUGGAUUAAUACCUCAUAGCCUAUAGAUUCGUCGUCGAGAUUAUAUUAAAGUCACAACGGGAAACUGUGAGCAUGCAUCCCAUUAGCUGGUUGGUAAGGUAACGGCUUACCAAGGCUACGAUGGGUAGGGGUCCUGAGAGGGAGAUCCCCCACACUGGAACCGAGACCCAGACCAGAACGCUACGGGAGGGAGCAGUGAGUACUAGUAGAGGAGAGGCGCAAGCGUGAUACAGCCAUGCCGCGUGCAGGAUGACGGGCCUAGGGAUUGUCUGCUGCUUGUAAACGAGAAGAAACACUGUUACGUGUAGCAGCUUGACGGUACCGUAAGAAUAAGGAACGGCUAACUACGUG